rnacentral:rRNA from 1 species
UGGGGAAUCUUCCGCAAUGGACGAAAGUCUGACGGAGCAACGCCGCGUGAGUGAAGAAGGUUUUCGGGUCGUAAAACUCUGUCUUUUGGGGCGAACGUGAGUAUGGUGAACAAUCAUAGUCAGUGACGGUACCAAAGGAGGAAGCCACGGCUAACUACGUGCCAGCAGCCGCGGUAAUACGUAGGUGGCAAGCGUUGUCCGGAAUUAUUGGGCGUAAAGAGCGCGUAGGCGGGAUAGUCAGUCUGUUGUAAAAGUGCGGGGCUCAACCCCGUGAUGGCAAUGGAAACAGCUAUUCUUGAGUGCAGGAGAGGAAAGUGGAAUUCCCAGUGUAGCGGUGAAAUGCGUAGAUAUUGGGAGGAACACCAGUGGCGAAGGCGACUUUCUGGACUGUGUCUGACGCUGAGGCGCGAAAGCCAGGGGAGCGAACGGGAUUAGAUACCCCGGUAGUCCUGGCCGUAAACGAUGGGUACUAGGUGUGGGAGGUAUCGACCCCUUCCGUGCCGGAGUUAACGCAAUAAGUACCCCGCCUGGGGAGUACGGUCGCAAGACUGAAACUCAAAUGAAUUGACGGGGUCAUAGCUGUUUCCUG